rnacentral:rRNA from 1 species
AAUCAACGCUGGCGGCGUGCCUAACACAUGCAAGUCGAACGCGAAAGCCCCGCAAGGGGUAAGUAGAGUGGCAAACGGGUGAGUAACACGUGGGUGACCUGCCUUCGAGUGGGGGAUAACGUCCCGAAAGGGACGCUAAUACCGCAUGACAUCCUGCUUUUGAAAAAGCGGAGAUCAAAGCUGGGGAUCGCAAGACCUAGCGCUUGAAGAGGGGCCCGCGCCUGAUUAGCUAGUUGGUGAGGUAACGGCUCACCAAGGCGACGAUCAGUAUCCGGCCUGAGAGGGCGGACGGACACACUGGGACUGAGACACGGCCCAGUCUCCUACGGGAGGCAGCAGUGGGGAAUUGUUCGCAAUGGGCGCAAGCCUGACGACGCAACGCCGCGUGGAGGACGAAGAUCUUCGGGUCGUAAACUCCUGUCGAGCGGGACGAACGCUUCGCGGAUGAAUAAUCCGCGGAAUUGACGGUACCGCUAAAGGAAGCCCCGGCUAACUCCGUG